GAAAAUUCUUCGUAGUCCGGAUUGGAGUCUGCAACUCGACUCCAUGAAGUCGGAAUCGCUAGUAAUCGCGAAUCAGCAUGUCGCGGUGAAUACGUUCUCGGGUCUUGUACACACCGCCCGUCAUACCAUGGAAGUGGAUUGCACCAGAAGUAGAUAGUCUAACCUUAGGGAGGGCGUUUACCACGGUGUGCUUCAUGACUGGGGUAAAGUCGUAACAAGGUAGCCGUAGGGGAACCUGUGGCUGGAUCACCUCCUU
rnacentral:rRNA from 1 species